AUGUCCUAUUUUAUAUUCCAAACAGUAUGGUAUAGUAUCUUACCUUAUGGGCGGGACAGGACGAGAAACAUGACCAUUAUAACAUUGACAGUAUCAAUGACGAGGUACUCUCAUCAAAGAAAGAGAGUUUAUAUUUUUAAAUGUUUGAACAGACAUGCACUAGCACCUUGGUGCUACAAUGCCCCAUAUGCAUCUCUGAACAUAAUUAGUUUUUUAUUAAAGCUAGCCAAGCAAGGAAAUUAUGUUACUGACAUUCAAAUUUUAGUGAACCAAUGGGACUCAAAAUCUACAGGAAAAACUGAAAAAGAACGGCAUGCAAAAAUAGGAGAAGAAUCAAUAGAAGACAAGAGGAUUAGGAAAGCACCUGGAAGGAACACAAGAUAG
rnacentral:rRNA from 1 species